rnacentral:rRNA from 1 species
UACGGAGGAUGCGAGCGUUAUCCGGAUUUAUUGGGUUUAAAGGGUGCGUAGGCGGAUCGUUAAGUCAGUGGUCAAAUUGAGGGGCUCAACCCCUUCCCGCCAUUGAAACUGGCGUUCUUGAGAUGUCGAGAGGUAUGCGGAAUGCGCAGUGUAGCGGUGAAAUGCUUAGAUAUUGCGCAGAACUCCGAUUGCGAAGGCAGCAUACCGGCGGCGAUCUGACGCUGAGGCACGAAAGCGUGGGUAUCGAACAGG